GUGGGUGCCUUCAUAGCCGUGUGUAUAUAUGGGCUGCACAAAUUGUACUCAGUGGUUAUUUAAAAGCAAAAUGACAACAACAAAAAACACAGGCUGUGAAGUUGAUAGGGGAGGCGAAUCCGGGAGGAGUUAGGGAAAGGAGUGGGGAUGAAAUUCUCACACGAUUAAUAAAAAUGCUAAUUUCUUUUCUUUUCUUUCUUUCUUUUUUUUUUUAAGUAUCGGUUUAGAGGAGGUGGGCUUUUUUUCUGAUGCUGGAAGUGUAGUUUCUUGUUUUUGUUUUUGCUUGGCAGGGAGCACCCUGCAAUAUUCCACUCAGCAUAUUUCCUGUUGACAUCUUUGCACGCUACCGACAGCAGCAGCAUCUUCAGAGAACCGGGAGCCCUAAGUGGUCACUGCUGAUACCCUGAGCACAGAAAGCGCUUUAACCUUUAUGGCGGUUCUCCUUACUGCCACUUCCUCAGAACAGAAGCCAGAAUCAGAUCUGCACAGCAAUGGAAUUCAACAUGGAGUUAGCUGCUGUUUCUCGUGGCCUCAGUCAGCUAGAAACCACCCUGCACAAGAUGGAGGCAGAGCCCUGAUAAACCAGAGAAAUGACCAGUGAGGAACAAGGGCCUAGUGGACUGCAGAAGAGCCCAAGGGAGACACCGGCACAGAUAGGUGCUGCCUACCCACUACUCUGGAUUGAGGGCUGAAGAUCUUCUCUGGAGUUGAGACCCUUCCCCUGUUUCUUGACUUCGGGUUCAACAAUCAUUACCAUACCUCCUAGCCAGCAACAGCCGUCCCUGGAUGGUCAUUUCAAAGACCCUACUGCACAUAAAGUAGUUUCUCAGGAGGACGAAUUUUGAUAAGCCAAUACAGGACUCACAUGGAUAUGUGGUCUCUCUCUUCAGCAUGGCCAUAGCCUCCAUCUGUAGGAUCUGCCAUGGACUCAAGGACAAGGUGGUGGAAGGGGAUCCCGGGACCCUGGUGCCUGCAUCUGAAAAACCAGAGGCAAACAUAUGUAAAUGUGCGGGCACUGCACAGUGCCAAUCUUCCAGCCAACACCACCUCACAGAUGAACUAAAAUAAUUGCUUGGACUCGGUUUUUGAAACUUAACAUCGAGCCCAUACACAAAUAUUAGCCUAGUCAGUCCCCUCCCCCUCCCCAGCCACCACAGGUUUACUUAUAUAAACAAAUCAUGUUCCCCAAGAAGGAGGCUGGAGCUGACACAGGCCAUUGUUGGGAAGGCAAUUACCGUAAUGAGGGAAAGCUAAGUGAAUGGAAGGCUGCUCCAGCUGCUUUGUUGAUAGAGGGUAAUAAGGGUGCUGCCUGAGCACAGAGUUAAUUUGCACUUUUCUCCACAAGCCUGGUGCUGCCCAAGCCACAACUACCCUUAGAACUGAAGCCCAGCUAAUUACUCAUGUUAAUUACCCAGCCCCAGGUCAGAUCCUGUGGCUGGUUAAAGACAGUGAAAGGCUAGGCGGCCACGAUUCUUGCUUAGAGCCGUGCAGAGGCUAUGGCUGGAUGUGUAAAUCUCUCUGAUUGGUGCACACCCUCCUUUAAGAGGCAUUAACUCUGCAGGGGACUAAGUUUCCUGAGAGCACCAUACCCUGCUCCCUCCUCGGGUCUCUUGAGAUCCCUCGGGAUUUUCUCCACGAGUUCUAUUUUCUCUGUAUAGAACACGCUAAUGGGGAAAAUGUUCACAAACAUAACUAAACAAAUUAGAUUAAUAAUUAACAAGCUGGGUGUGUUGGUGUCCAUCUGUAAUCCUAGCACUCAGGAAGCAGGAACAGGAAGAUUUGAGUUCACUGCUAGCCUAUCUCCAAAAAGAAGAAAAAACCCAAAGCCAAAUGGUUCCACCCUGUAUGAUGUUUCCAUUUACAUAAUAUUCUGGAAAAGGCAAAACCAUAGGGAACUGUGCCGACCAGAGGUUGCCAAAGGUGGGGGUGGUAGUGAGAGCUGACCACAAAGGGGGAUCAUGAGGGAAUUUGGGGGGACAAUGGGCUCCUCUGGAUAUGAUCAUGGGAUAUGUAUAUCAUGUGAUAUACAUUCAGCAAUGUUAUACACGUGUCAAAACCUGUAGAGAUGUCCUCUGCAAAGAGUGAAUUUUGUUGUGUUACUGUAUAAAGUUACAGAGAAAAAUGUAA